UACGUAGGGUGCAAGCGUUGUCCGGAAUUAUUGGGCGUAAAGAGCUCGUAGGCGGUCUGUCGCGUCGGAUGUGAAAAUCCAGGGCUCAACCCUGGACCUGCAUUCGAUACGGGCAGACUAGAGUUCGGCAGGGGAGACUGGAAUUCCAGGUGUAGCGGUGAAAUGCGUAGAUAUCUGGAGGAACACCGGUGGCGAAGGCGGCAUCCUGGACCGGCAUUGACGCUGAGGCGCGAAAGCCAGGGAGCAA
rnacentral:rRNA from 1 species